AAAAUGACAGUGAUACCCCUCCCACCCUGAAAACACCCCUUUCCCGAUGCUGGCCUAGCGUGGAUAUGCUUCAACCCUCCCCUCUUUUCUCAAUUUCAGAAAUCUAUGUUACGUCGGAGAAGAGUUCUGCGACUCAGUGCGUCUGCCCCUCAGCUCCCUGACGCCAUAAACCCUAUCAAACACUGGGUCCAUGAAUAUAAGACUGUUUAUGGAGGGUCAGGAUACUGUGGAUGUGGAAAUCAGCCUUUCCCUGUACCAUUCACUCUUCAAAAUAUGAUUCGUAGACCAUUUCUUAAUGGCGAUUAAUCACUAUUAUACCUCAAUCUGAAGCUCAAAUUGAGGGUGAAGAGUGGAAAUCUUCUUCUCUUGUUUGGAAGAUUUGUAUUGCAAGUAUUUGGAUACGUGCAAAAAAGGUUGGAGGUGGGAGGUUCAUCGACCCACGAUGAAGUUGAGGACAUUGAAGAUCAUUUAUUGGUGAGGCAUAGGAGUAGACGAAUGUCUUCUGGUUCUGUUGACUCUGGCACAGAAAUUCGAGACAAUGAAGGUAGCCCCCGCCAACAUAUCCACAACACGAUACUGGUAUUGAUCAUCCUCAGCACCAUGAAACUGACAUCGGUUUGGAGGAGUGGGGAGGAAUCUCUUCAUUGGAACAUGAUGAGGCUGUAAUGCUUGAGGCUGCUAUUUUUGGUGGAAUUCCAGAAGGGAGUUCGUAUCAUGUACCAUAUGCACCACAUCAGUACAUGCAGAAUGGUUUCGAUGGAUCUGGAACUUAUGCUAGGCCGGCGCCUCCUCCACCAUCGCCUUCUCUAACUGCUCAGCGCUUGAUACGAGAACAGCAGGAUGAUGAAUAUCUUGCGUCACUGCAAGCUGAUCGAGAAAAAGAGUUUAAGGCCAGGGAAGAAGCUGAGGUACGUCUCAUUGAGGAGCAAGCAGCCAGAGAAGCUGCACUUGUGGUGGAAAGACAACAGGCGGAAGAAUUGCAGAGAAAAUUGCAGGAAGAACAGGAAAUGGAAAGACAAUUGGCAGCAAAAGAAGCUUGUCUUCCUAAUGAACCAUCUCCAGAUGAUGAAACUUUUAUAACCUUUCUUGUUCGAAUGCCUGAUGGCAGCCGCAGAGGUCGCAGAUUUCUCAAGUCCCACAGACUGCAGGUACAUAUCAUAUGCUUCAAGUGGCUGGCAGUUAUCCACUCAUCGAGCUUAUCCCUAAAUAUUAUGUAAUUAAAAAAUUGCCAAUGUUUUAUACUCCCUCAGUCUCAAUUUAUAAGUUCAUUUUGAACACGCAUACUAAGAAAAAAGUUGGUUGAAUAUAAUUUUAUCUCAUGUACAAUUAAUUAGUGCAUUGAUAAGUGAGAAUAUAGUUGAGUUUCAAAAAAAUCACAAUAAAUAUAGAGAUUUAGUGCAUUGAGAAAUGAGAAUAAUGUUGAGUUUAAAAAAAGUCACAAUAAAUAUAUAGAUAAAUUUGUAUUGAAAGAAGAUAGGGACAAGUAUUUUGGGACAAUUUUUUUUUUUCCAAAAUGGACCUAUAAAUUGAGACGGAGGGAAUGUUAUCGUAACGGUCCGAAUAAAUGGCCACCUGGAAAGGAAUCGGGCAGAGGGGAGACAAUCAAAGGUGUGCAGAAAACUUGAUUUCGCUGCCAAGAAUUCAAUUGUAGAAAACAUGAGUUACAGAAGUUUUAUGCCCACCCAUAUUGGCGCUGAAACAGAUCUUCGUUUUGUUUAUUGUGCAACGGCCAUAUGUUCCAUGCUGGAAGAUUGGAGUGGUAUGGAUAGAGAGAAAGCCAAAGAAUACAUAAUAAGUUGUCAGUAUCUUUUCGACUAUAUUGAUGUUGGUCGACAGGUCAAGCCUGGCACUUACAGAUUGGAGGAGAAGUAUUAUUGCAAGUGGACGCGAGGUUGGGCAACUUAACACUGGUGGUGGUAUGCAGGUGCAGUUCUUCACUAUUGUUGUUGUAGUUUCAUUUUGAUAAAGUCUGAACAAUCUAUGUUUGUUUUUUCUUAAUAAACUGAAGUACCUGGUGUCCGAAUGUUAAAACUUUAAAUUACAAAAUAUUAUAAUUUUAAUUAUUGUUGCUUGUGAUUAAGCAAGCAGCCCCCCGCCCUAAAAAAAAAGUAUAGAUUUGCAUAUUUCAGACUAAUACUGAGAAGUGAUAUCCUUAAAAAUGUGUUUUCCUUUUUAUCUAAUUAUUUGGCAUACUAUGCUAACACUAUUUAGGCGUUAAUGAAUUUUCCACGGAGAGUUUUAUUAUUCUCUUAAAUAGAAUAAAGAUCAGUGCAAGUUGUAGCAUAAAUGUAUGAAUUUAUAUAGGUUUAUUACUGGCAAUAUGAUUAAUCCUGCCAAACUUUGUUUCAUACAUUCGAGGAAUCUGUGUUUCUUAAGAUCUUUAAUUAGCCGAGUUAACAGAUAAGUUCAUUAAUUUGAAACUCCAGUUUAAUUCAAAACGUAUUUACGCCAGAUUACUUUGGUUUGUAUGAGUUGUGGUUGAUCUUUAGUUUAGGCAUACCUGAAGGUGAUGUAUUCUAAUUGGGAACAUUGACUCCAGAGCUCCACAGUCUACUGCAAGCUCUUUUUCAAGUUUUGAUAUCUCUGCACUAAUGUUGCCAAAGUCUUCACUUUUUUAAACUUUCUUAUAUGGCUUCGUUUUUUAAGGGAGCACAGCUUAAGUGGUUCUUUCCCUCAAACUUAGAUUGAUUAAAAUUGGUGACAAAUCGAAAUAUUAAAUUAAGAAACAUGACUUAGUACGUGUAGCAUCUUUUAGUAUGAUUGUUUUCCUGCCAGGCAUUAAGUACACAGUCACAUUAAUGUGCUCACAUUGCUUCAAUACCCUCCAAGUAACUUCAUUCAGUAGAAAAAUACAAGGACUUAUCCAAGACAAGAUGGGUACAUGUUCAAGUUUUCAUUUUGCCAUGUGAUCAUAUCAAACAGUACAAUAUUUGAGGAAAAAGUGCAGAGGAUACCAGAAGUUGCAAUAACAUUGAAAGAGAUAACAGAAGCUAUUUAUUUCAGCUCCUGCAGAUAUUAGUGCAAGAAACACGAGUAAUUCCACUUCUAAAAAAAAACAGGUGAUAAAAAUGAGGAAAUGUAGUGUUGGAGCUUUAAGGACUACUUAGAACCCUCCAGCAUUUGCGCACAACAUUGGACGGUGGUCCACCACAUUGGUUUUCCUAGUCGGAGUGCUCUUCCACACGAGAAGACUCUCCUCUUUUGCUCUUUUUAACAGGUUUCCUAUUUCAAGCACAUCCUUAUUGUAUUACGAGUCUAUGAAACUCUCGUUUUGAGAAAAACCGGUCACUUAUCAGAAGGAUGACAUUUGUUUGUGCGUUUUUUUGCAUGCAUACAUUAUUAAUAAAGAGUUUCUUAUAAAAAUUGCAGGUCUUGAUGGAUUUGGAAUUAGACUUUAUUUGCAAUAUCAAAGGCUUGGGCAGUAGGUUCAUUAGCACUCUCAAGUCUGCUCGGUACAAGUCUAGGGUUCAAGAUCUGUGGAGGCUAUUUAAAUUAUGUAAAUUACCAUUUCUAAAUAAUUUAAUAAUGUUAUUGAGUAUUGCCAAAUGCUAACAAUUAUUCUUAUUUCUUUUUUUCCCUUCAAAGGAAUUUUGAUA